CACUCUGGUCCUCAGACCUUCCUUUGACCUUCCUUGUCUUUUAGCCACUGCCAUUUUGGACUCCUUUUCCCUAUUCUACCUACCUAACAGGAAUGAAGUGGAACUCUAGCUCUAGAAGCAUGUUUGGGAACUCGGUGGAACUCUAGCUUCAGCAGUGUCUCUCUUAGCUACUUCCACAUGGGGUCAGAGUCCCAAAAGUGAAUCCUUGUCACAGCUGUGCCUCCAAACAAAAUGUAUGGAAAUGCUGCUGCUGAGCAUGAGGUUUCUAAGAACAUAGGUCAGGAAUCCCAGUUUGGAAGUACAGUGGGAUUCUUCCUUUGAUAGUUCUAGCUCUUAUUGGACUAGAUAAAGCUCUCCAGUGGCUUACUAAUGGGGUGAUGACUCACUGCUUCUACUCCAGUCAGGACUAUACUCAAGAAUGUGCAUGGGCACAUGGAAGAUAGAUGAUUCUGCUAGUAGUCCUAGCUUGGGAAACUUUCUGGGAAACUACUCUGUUACACCCCAGGUGGCAUCAGAGGAAAAGAGCAAAUCAAACAAAGAUUUUGGUGAUGGGAGCUACUCAAAGUUCCAAAACGAUACCCUUGGAUUGUGUCCUAAAAAACUGGGGUAAGUUUGAUUCCCAGAGCUUCAAGUAGACACAUCUGACUUUCUUUUGCAAACCUGCAUGUCCAUAAUAUCCAUUGGAGGGUGACAAACAAUGGCCACUUAAAGGGUCUCUUAAUUAUGAUAUUGUUUAACCACUAGGUGUGCUGCAGUCCAUGGCAUCGCAAAGAGUCGGACACGACUGAGCCACUGAACUGAAGUGAACUUUACCACUAGACCAGUUCUGUAGAAAACAAGGGAAAUGGUAGAAGUGCCAUAUGUGUUGUCUUUUUCUUUCUGCAAGAUAUGCCAGACUUGUGUCCUACGGACACAGAUUUGGGUGUAAAGCCUUCAGCUUCCUCCUAUCCUCUUACUCUGCCCCUGCAUCUGGGGCUCCCAACUGAGGAAGCUGAGGGUCAAGGCAUACCUUCAAGAAGCGUUGCCUCAGUCUCCAGAGAAGUUCAAACAAACCCAGUUCCAAUACAGCCUUAGACUACACUGGUUUCAACAGGAACUCAGAUAGUCAAAUUAGAGAAGUCUCAGACAACCAAAA